rnacentral:rRNA from 1 species
AGACUAUAAGUCUCCUGAAGGAACGUUGAAGACGACGACGUUGAUAGGCCGGGUGUGUAAGCGCAGCGAUGCGUUGAGCUAACCGGUACUAAUGAACCGUGAGGCUUAACCUU